CGCUGUCAGUACAAUUGGUCUGUUCUUUAUAGCUGAACUGGCUGGUUCAGAGUUUAUCUUUUUCUCUCCACAUUGGAAGGAGAAAGAUAAACUCUGAACUAGUGCAGCCAAUUCAGCUAUAAAGAACAGACCUAAUAAUGACGUCAUAAUUCGAAAGCGUUUACAUCAUCAUUUCUCGCUUAAUUCGCUUUUUCGAACAAGAUUUAAAUUUUGUAGCACAAAAACUUCAAGAAGCCAAAGAUAUAUUUUUAUUUAUUGAAGACAAGGAGAAGGAAAACAGUUAACACUGCAUAAAAUUUCACAGUCAUCUUCUUUACUUUCCUCUAAAGAAAAUGAAAACAUUAUAUUAUAAAACUCAUUCACUGUUAGCGCAUAAAUACACCCACACAACACGCAUGCCUUAAUGACGUUCUAUAGUCGUCUUUUUUAUUACGUCUUUGAGACAUUACCUAAAGACGAUGUACAGACGUCUGAUGGAUCUUUUGUAACACGUCACUAAAAGGACUUACAAAGUCGUCUGCUAUGGCAAUUCUGAAAGAGAUGCAUAACCUACAAUUUCAUUCAGUUAUGUCUAAUAUAGACCGAUGAAUGAUCCUACUUGUGGAGUGGAUAGUUUGACUUAAAUAAUUUUUUUUAAUUCAUAAAAAAAUGAGCCACAAGUAAAAUUAUCCUCCGAUCUAGACAACGUAUUAAUUGUAGAGUGCUUGAAUAAAAUAUUGUAAAACAAAGGCAUCAAGGAAUCCAAGUUGAUGAGGCGAUGGACUGUCAAGUAAUAAUAAUAAGAUUAGAUUAACCACUUCAAUCAACCGGGUCAAAAAUGACAUUUUUAUUCCAAGUAUGCUUGAACUCAGUGAGUAAAAUAUUAGCAAUAUGCCAGCAGUGUGGCAGCAGAAACGCAGCGAACAAGCGGAAAUGAAAUCGAGCAUGAUCUGUCGUCACAAUGUGAAAAAAUUUAUACUACAAAAAUGCUAAAAACCCGAUAAGUAUUUGAUUCUUAAUAUAUAUCUGUGGCUUGGUAAAAGAAGUGACAAUGUCAAUAUUCAUUAACUUGAGAUAUGUCUGUUAGAAAUAUGUGAGUUAAAAAUUUUUUUAGUUUAUGAUUAAAUAACUUGAUGUAUAAGUGGAAGCUAUUACCUUCAUUUUUAUUUAGAUUUUGACAUUACCAUUUCUUGAAGACACAAUAUACAAAAGUUUUCAAACACAUUUUUAGUCUUGGUUCAUUUAAGCAGAAAUUUGAUAUUGACACUUUUUGUACCAAGCCAUAGAUAUAUAUUAUAUA